AGAGUUUGAUCCUGGCUCAGGGUGAACGCUGGCGGUGCGCCUAAUGCAUGCAAGUCGAGCGAACCUGUGACUUCGGUCACACAUAGGUUAGCGGCGGACGGCUGAGUAACACGUGAGUAACUUGCCUUUUGGUGGGGUAUAGCCCAGAGAAAUCUGGAUUAAUCCCGCAUAAGAUCUUAGAACCCUGGUUCUUUGAUGAAAGCCUUCGGGCGCCGAAAGAGAGGCUCGCGGACUAUCAGGUAGUUGGUGGGGUAAUGGCCUACCAAGCCUAAGACGGUUAGCUGGUCUGAGAGGAUGAUCAGCCAGAGGGGGACUGAGACACGGCCCCCACUCCUACGGGAGGCAGCAGCAGGGAAUCUUGGGCAAUGGACGAAAGUCUGACCCAGCGACAUCGCGUGGGGGAUGAAGGCCUUAGGGUUGUAAACUCCUUUUAUAAGAGAAGAGUAAGGACGGUACCUUAUGAAUAAGCCCCGGCUAACUACGUGCCAGCAGCCGCGGUAAUACGUAGGGGGCGAGCGUUACCCGGAAUCACUGGGCGUAAAGAGAGCGUAGGCGGUUUGGAAAGUCAUUUGUGAAAGCUCCUGGCUCAACUAGGAGAGGUCAAGUGAAACUUCCUGACUUGAGGACGGUAGAGGUAAGCGGAAUUCUUGGUGUAGCGGUGAAAUGCGUAGAUAUCAAGAAGAACACCAGAGGCGAAGGCGGCUUACUGGGCCGUUUCUGACGCUGAGGCUCGAGAGCGUGGGUAGCAAACAGGAUUAGAUACCCUGGUAGUCCACGCC
rnacentral:rRNA from 1 species